UACGUAGGGUGCGAGCGUUGUCCGGAAUUAUUGGGCGUAAAGAGCUUGUAGGCGGUCUGUCGCGUCUGCUGUGAAAAUCCGGGGCUCAACCCCGGACUUGCAGUGGGUACGGGCAGACUAGAGGUGUGGUAGGGGAGACUGGAAUUCCUGGUGUAGCGGUGAAAUGCGCAGAUAUCAGGAGGAACACCCGAUGGCGAAGGC
rnacentral:rRNA from 1 species